rnacentral:rRNA from 1 species
UACGUAGGCAGCAAGCGUUGUUCGGAGUUACUGGGCGUAAAGGGUGUGUAGGCGGUCCUCUAAGUUUGGUGUGAAAUCUCCCGGCUCAACUGGGAGGGUGCGCCGAAAACUGGAGGGCUAGAGUACUGGAUGGGAGAGUGGAAUUCCUGGUGUAGCGGUGAAAUGCGUAGAUAUCAGGAGGAACACCUGUGGUGUAGACGGCUCUCUGGACAGUAACUGACGCUGAGGAGCGAAAGCGUGGGUAGCAAACAGG